CCUUUGACGUUAGCGGCGGACGGGUGAGUAACACGUGGGUAACCUACCUAUAAGACUGGGAUAACUUCGGGAAACCGGAGCUAAUACCGGAUAAUAUUUCGAACCGCAUGGUUCGAUAGUGAAAGGUGGUUUUGCUAUCACUUAUAGAUGGACCCGCGCCGUAUUAGCUAGUUGGUAAGGUAACGGCUUACCAAGGCGACGAUACGUAGCCGACCUGAGAGGGUGAUCGGCCACACUGGAACUGAGAUACGGUCCAGACUCCUACGGGAGGCAGCAGAC
rnacentral:rRNA from 1 species